rnacentral:rRNA from 1 species
GACGUAGGGGGCGAGCGUUGUCCGGAAUUACUGGGCGUAAAGGGCGCGUAGGCGGUCAAUCAAGUCAGGUGUAAAAGACCCCGGGCUCAACCCGGGGGUAGCACCUGAAACUGGUUGGCUAGAGGGCAGGAGAGGGGAGUGGAAUUCCCGGUGUAGCGGUGAAAUGCGUAGAUAUCGGGAGGAAUACCAGUGGCGAAGGCGACUCUCUGGACUGGCCCUGACGCUGAGGCGCGAAAGCGUGGGGAGCGAACAGGAUUAGAUACCCGCGUAGU